GCAAUACCCAGGAUGCAACACUGCUGUCAGCAGCAAGGUUAACAGCCUGAUUCCUGUGGAGUGAGCCAAUACAAACGAAGCACUUCAGUUCCAGUCAUUACCUGCUCAUCAACUCAACAUACUAAACAGAUUACUGCUCCAUCGAACUUUCCAGUCAAGUCCAAAUAGUGAUUGAGGACAUCAUUUGCCAAUUCCCCCCCCCUCUUCAUUAGUCCACCUCCCCUACAGUAAGCCAGCUGUUACUGUCAACUCCUGCAGGAUGAUGAAUGAUGUGAGUCACAGCUAUAAUGGUGGGAAGCACACAAACAGUUCCAAGGGGUGUCAGCAGGAGCAGGUGGAGGGCACUCUGCCACAUGGUGAACCAUCCGUCUGUUGCUGCCUGUCUCCAGAUCUCGCCAGGUACAGAGCAUACCAAUCCAGCAGAGCUAAGAGAGAGGCAAGCACUAUGCUCCAGUUUCAAGACACUGAACGCAACACUUGUGGGAAGAGAAAUUGCAGCCAAGACAUCAGACAAAGACUGACUGUGAGGCAGCAGAACGGACAUCUUUGCUGGCUUCAGCUAUUUGUUUUUUUGUUGUUUUUUUCCAGGAUUUGCAAGUGAGAAAGUGUUCAUUUCAAGCCACACUGCCAAUUCAUCAAGAAGUACAUUAAAAAACAUCAAUAUCAAUGCAGAAAUGGCUGUUGGAAGUCAACGUCUGCUUCUGGUUGUAGGCGAGAUAUGAUUUCAAGAAAGACCCAGAAUAUUGGAAUUCUAUUUUAAUAAAGUACAAAACAUACAUAUCGA